rnacentral:rRNA from 1 species
UACGGGGGGGGCAAGCGUUGUUCGGAAUUACUGGGCGUAAAGGGCGCGUAGGCGGUUUGCUAAGUUGGAUGUGAAAACUCUGGGCUUAACCCAGAGCCUGCAUCCAAAACUGGCUGACUUGAGUACUGGAGGGGAAAGCGGAAUUCCUGGUGUAGCGGUGAAAUGCGUAGAUAUCAGGAGGAACACCGGUGGCGAAGGCGGCUUUCUGGACAGUAACUGACGCUGAGGCGCGAAAGCUAGGGGAGCAAACAGG